AUUUUUGAUACAGGCUGGUUUUGGCGUUCCAGAUCUAGAACUUCGAAUUCUCAGUCAAUUAGUAAGUAAAUGGAUAUUUCCCCCUUUGUGUUUAACAUAAAUGCUUUACGAUUACGUACAUUACAGUACCCGGGAGAAAAAUCAACAUAAUAUUAUUAUAUAAACUUGGCUUGUGGUUUAUAUAUUGUUCAUUGUCGCAUGGUUACUUCUCUGUUGGUAUUUGUUGCUUAUCUGUAUUGUUUAAUUACUAGUUUAAAGACUUCGCGUUCGUUCAGUAUUGAAUAUAUGUUUACAUACAAUAUGUAUAGAAACAGUUUCGUGUAUCCGAAGCGCUUUUCUGUCAUAUAUAAAAAACGUAAUUAUAGCAAUGUAUAAUUAGAAAGAUUUUUAAUGUGAAAGGUCUAUCAUUAUAUGAAAUGUUUCGAUAGUUCUUGUUUGAUUUAAAAUAAUCAUAAGACCAAUAUAACGUACAUUUUGUUUUUCCAAAAGUAUUUUGUAACCAUGAAAUGUUUUCUUCAUAAACAGAACCAGUAGAUGCAUCCUGUACACGGAAAGGCCAAAAUGGUGACUGUGAAUUUUAUAGAUGCUUUGAAGAUAGACGACAGUGUGGAUCAUCUGGUUAUCUAAUUGGUUACGGCUACAAAUACUGCAACAAAUUUAGAACCUUAUACAACCGUUUCACAACGCCUUUGACACCCAUGUUAAUUGCUACCUGAAGUGUGGCUUUUGCAACAUAUAUAAAUCAAACUUUGGAGCUCUUAAUGAUGUGUUUGAUUACAGUGAUAUGAUGUCAUGGAAUGCUGCCAGACAGAUGACAUCAGUUGGAUACAGUUGUCUUGGCUAGCAAAGAGAUGUUUGGUUUACUAAAAUUGAUAUUUAUAUAUUAAUGCAUAGAAUUCAAUGAAGAUGGUGCGUUUUGUUUUUAUUAAAUCUCAAUUCAGAGAAUAUUCAAAUUUCGAGUAUUUGCACAAGUUGAACAAACACACUUAACAAGACAGGAAGGAACAAAGACUAAUU
rnacentral:lncRNA from 1 species